CCUACGGGAGGCAGCAGUGAGGAAUAUUGGUCAAUGGACGAGAGUCUGAACCAGCCAAGUAGCGUGAAGGAUGACUGUCCCAUGGGUUGUAAACUUCUUUUAUAUGGGAAUAAAACGUUCCUCGUGUGCGUUUUUGUAUGUACCUUAUGAAUAAGCAUCGGCUAACUCCGUGCCAGCAGCCGCGGUAAUACGGAGGAUCCGAGCGUUAUCCGGAUUUAUUGGGUUUAAAGGGUGCGUAGGCGGAUUGUUAAGUCAGUUGUGAAAGUUUGCGGCUCAACCGUAAAAUUGCAGUUGAAACUGGCAGUCUUGAGUAGAGUAGAGGUGGGCGGAAUGCGUGGUGUAGCGGUGAAAUGCUUAGAUAUCGCGAAGAACUCCGAUUGCGAAGGCAGUUCACUGGACUGCAACUGACACUGAGGCUCGAAAGUGUGGGUAUCGAACAGGAUUAGAUACCCCGGUAGUC
rnacentral:rRNA from 1 species